AAAACACAUUAGGACAGGAAAUGGCAAUCAAAUAAGGUGGGAGAGUAGAGUGCUGCCCUUUAGGAGAGAGCAAAUGACCGGUAUGUGAGGUAGAGGUUACUCUGGGAGGCCAUAAGCUUUCCUAAAGAGAUGGGUUUUAAAGCAAUUCUUAAAGGAUUGAAGACAAGGGGAGAGUCUGAUGGCGGUAGGCAGGCUAUUCCAUAGGAAGGGAGUCGCCCGCGAGAAGUCCUGCAAGCGUGAGUUGGUCAUACUUGUGCGAGCAACGGACAGGAGAAGGUGAAGAGAUA